rnacentral:rRNA from 1 species
GAUGAACGCUGGCGGCGUGCCUAAUACAUGCAAGUCGAGCGAACGGACGAGAAGCUUGCUUCUCUGAUGUUAGCGGCGGACGGGUGAGUAACACGUGGAUAACCUACCUAUAAGACUGGGAUAACUUCGGGAAACCGGAGCUAAUACCGGAUGAUAUUUUGAACCGCAUGGUUCAAAAGUGAAAGACGGUCUUGCUGUCACUUAUAGAUGGAUCCGCGCUGCAUUAGCUAGUUGGUAAGGUAACGGCUUACCAAGGCAACGAUGCAUAGCCGACCUGAGAGGGUGAUCGGCCACACUGGAACUGAGACACGGUCCAGACUCCUACGGGAGGCGGCAGUAGGGAAUCUUCCGCAAGGGCGAAAGCCUGACGGAGCAACGCCGCGUGAGUGAUGAAGGUCUUCGGAUCGUAAAACUCUGUUAUUAGGGAAGAACAUAUGUGUAAGUAACUGUGCACAUCUUGACGGUACCUAAUCAGAAAGCCACGGCUAACUACGUG